rnacentral:rRNA from 1 species
AACGAACGCUGGCGGCAUGCCUAACACAUGCAAGUCGAACGAGACCUUCGGGUCUAGUGGCGCACGGGUGCGUAACGCGUGGGAACCUGCCCUUAGGUUCGGAAUAACUCCCCGAAAGGGGUGCUAAUACCGGAUAAUGUCUUCGGACCAAAGAUUUAUCGCCUUUGGAUGGGCCCGCGUUGGAUUAGCUAGUUGGUAGGGUAAAAGCCUACCAAGGCGACGAUCCAUAGCUGGUCUGAGAGGAUGAUCAGCCACACUGGGACUGAGACACGGCCCAUACUCCUACGGGAGGCAGCAGUGGGGAAUAUUGGACAAUGGGCGAAAGCCUGAUCCAGCAAUGCCGCGUGAGUGAUGAAGGCCUUAGGGUUGUAAAGCUCUUUUACCCGGGAUGAUAAUGACAGUACCGGGAGAAUAAGCUCCGGCUAACUCCGUG